rnacentral:lncRNA from 1 species
AUUAAGCCUUAGCUCCAUCUCUGCAUUGCAAUCACUAGUCAUCAGAUUAUAAGGCCCUGGUUUCCUGUGUCCUGUUGGGCAACCACAUGAUAGAAUUUUAGUGCUAUUUCCUGGCAUAGCAGGAGGUGGAAGAGCAGGGGAAGAAACAUUAAUCUAACCAUGAAUUUUAUUUCCUUGUGUUUCUCACACUAAAAAUUGAGAGGAAAUCCAACUGCACAAGAGGACAGUCCCCAGUAAGGCCUGAAAACAAGCUCCUUGGUUGUGGACUUGCAGUUGCCUACUAAGUCCCAGGAAUCUGGCACAUGACGUGUAGCAAAAACCUGAGUACAAGAAGCUUUUUUGCUGUGGGUGGCCUUUAUUGACCUAUCCAUUUUGCAUAUUGCUCCACGGCACUCCGUUAUUGCUUCCUUUCUUUAAAUCGCUAAUUAGAUCCUGAUGAUUUCCAUGUGACACAAUGUGAGGACUGUGAGCUGCAAAGUGACCUUGUUGUGUGUGUGAGUUCGUGAAUACUGGGCUGUUUUAAGGAAAUAGGAGUGUGCUUUGCAUACUUGGCCCAAUUUAUAUUUCAACAAAAAGCAAUUGUAGAUGAAAUUAUUUUUUGCACUUUUUUGAUUUGUCUUUAAGUCCUGUCACUGCAAUUUUGUUUCUUAGGUUAAUUUGGAAAAAA